AAGGAAGGAAGCAAAAGGCCUGAAGGAUAAGAUGAGACAAGGCUGAAGCAGGAUCAUUAAAUCAUAAACCUGGAGCACCUGGAUAGUGAGUAGAGUGAAAACAAGCUCAGGGCUCCCACUGAUUGUACAUUAUGGUGAGACGUGGUCUUGUAACACAGUGGUUAAGAAUGUGACUUUGGAGCCAGCCUGCUAGGGGCUGAAUUCUGACUCAGCCAUUUACUAACUGUGUGACCUUAGGGAGGAGGACCUGGUUGAUAGAAGAAUUUAUCUCGUAGUCUUAACAUCCACUGUAAUUCCAAACUUUGAGGACGAUAGAGAUCAGUGGGCUUUGACUGCCCAGCAUGCAGUCUCCAUUCUUAGGUGGAGUCUCACUCUGUAGCCCAAGCUGGAGUGGCGUGAUCUCGACUCACUGCAACCUCCGCCUCCUGGGAUCAAGUGAUUCUCGUGCCUCAGCCUCCUGAGUAGCCGGGACUACAGGUCACAGAAUUUUCCACACUCCUUGACAGAGGUGCUUAACCCUUAUCCAUCAGCAUUCUCAGACAGCACCUCCGGUUAGGGACAGUAUCUGACCGUCCGACAUCCCUGCAGCCCCCAUGUGUCACACAGACUCAGCCUCAGGUAGAUGGUUUCCGUAGAUGGUGGCUUUCUUUGGACCCUUGACAUCAACCAGUUACUAUUUGGGGACCAGAUGUGCAGAGGUAAUGAAUACCAGGGAAUCAGGAAACCACUGGAUCAGUUCUUUGAGCCACAGAACAACACUCAUCCCAGCAGCUGGGAAGCUAUCUGCAAAAGUCCAUCUGCAGAAAGGGCUUCCUGGUCUUGCGUGUGGCUGGGCCAUUUCUCUGGAUGCAGGUUUUUCAUUAUACAGUCUUCUCAAAGAACCACCUGCUCUCAACACCUUCUCGGUGACUCCAUUUCCCCUCCUCU
rnacentral:lncRNA from 1 species